rnacentral:rRNA from 1 species
UGGGGAAUAUUGGACAAUGGGCGCAAGCCUGAUCCAGCCAUGCCGCGUGAGUGAUGAAGGCCCUAGGGUUGUAAAGCUAUUUCACCGGUGAAGAUCAUGACGGUAACCGGAGAAGAAGCCCCGGCUAACUUCGUGCCAGCAGCCGCGGUAAUACGAAGGGGGCUAUCGUUGUACGGAUUUACUGGGCGUAAAGUGCACGGAGGCGGACUUUUAAGUCAGGGGUGAAAUCCCGGGGCUCAACCCCGGAACUGCCUUUGAUACUGGAAGUCUGGAGGAUGGUAGAGGUGGGUGGAAUUCCGAGUGUAGAGGGGAAAUGCGGAGAGAUUCGGAGGAACACCAGUGGCGAAGGCGGCUCACUGGACCAUUACUGACGCUGAGGUGCGAAAGCGUGGGGAGCAAACAGG